rnacentral:rRNA from 2 species
GCUAACGCGUGAAGUUGACCGCCUGGGGAGUACGGUCGCAAGAUUAAAACUCAAAGGAAUUGACGGGGACCCGCACAAGCGGUGGAUGAUGUGGAUUAAUUCGAUGCAACGCGAAAAACCUUACCUACCCUUGACAUGUCUGGAAUGCUGAAGAGAUUUGGCAGUGCUCGCAAGAGAACCGGAACACAGGUGCUGCAUGGCUGUCGUCAGCUCGUGUCGUGAGAUGUUGGGUUAAGUCCCGCAACGAGCGCAACCCUUGUCAUUAGUUGCUACGAAAGGGCACUCUAAUGAGACUGCCGGUGACAAACCGGAGGAAGGUGGGGAUGACGUCAAGUCCUCAUGGCCCUUAUGGGUAGGGCUUCACACGUCAUACAAUGGUCGGGACAGAGGGUCGCCAACCCGCGAGGGGGAGCCAAUCCCAGAAACCCGAUCGUAGUCCGGAUCGCAGUCUGCAACUCGACUGCGUGAAGUCGGAAUCGCUAGUAAUCGCGGAUCAGCAUGUCGCGGUGAAUACGUUCCCGGGUCUUGUACACACCGCCCGUCACACCAUGGGAGUGGGUUUU